rnacentral:tRNA from 12 species
AAUAGCUCAGGCGGUGAGCGUUGGCUUGCUGAGGCAAAAGUCGUUGGUUUGAUCCUUCCC